rnacentral:rRNA from 1 species
UACGGGGGGGGCAAGCGUUGUUCGGAAUUACUGGGCGUAAAGGGCUCGUAGGUGGCCAACUAAGUCAGACGUGAAAUCCCUCAGCUUAACUGGGGAACUGCGUCUGAUACUGGAUGGCUUGAGUUUGGGAGAGGGAUGCGGAAUUCCAGGUGUAGCGGUGAAAUGCGUAGAUAUCAGGAGGAACACCAAUAGCGAAGGCAGCUCGCUGGGACGGUACUGACGCUGAGGCGCGAAAGCGUGGGGAGCGAACAGG